UACGUAGGGUGCGAGCGUUAAUCGGAAUUACUGGGCGUAAAGCGUGCGCAGGCGGUGAUGUAAGACCGAUGUGAAAUCCCCGGGCUUAACCUGGGAACUGCAUUGGUGACUGCAUUGCUGGAGUAUGGCAGAGGGGGAUGGAAUUCCGCGUGUAGCAGUGAAAUGCGUAGAUAUGCGGAGGAACACCGAUGGCGAAGGCAAUCCCCUGGGCCUGUACUGACGCUCAUGCACGAAAGCGUGGGGAGCAAACAGG
rnacentral:rRNA from 1 species